GAUGAACGCUGGCGGCGUGCCUUAUACAUGCAAGUCGAGCGAACGGACGAGCAUCUUGCUUCUCGGAUGUUACCGGCGGGCGGGUGAUUAACACGUGCAUGACCUACCUUUAAGACUAGGAUGACUUCGGGAAACCUGAUCUAACACCCGAUAAUAUUGUGAACCGCAUGGUUCGAAAGUGAAAGACGUUCUUGCGGUCACUUAUAGAGGUAUCCUCGCUGCAUUAGCUAGUUGGUAAGGUAACGGCUUACCAAGGCAACGAUGCAUAGCCGACCUGAGAGGGUGAUCGGCCACACUGGAACUGAGACACGGCCCAGACUCCUACGGGAGGCAGCAGUAGGGAAUCUUGCGCAAUGGGGGAAAGCCUGACGGAGCAACGCCGCGUGAGUGAUGAAGGUCUUCGGAUCGUAAACCGCUGUUAUUCGGGAAGAACAUAUGUGUACGUAACUGUGCACAUCAUGACGGUACCUAAUCAGUAAGCAACGGCUAACUACGUG
rnacentral:rRNA from 1 species